rnacentral:lncRNA from 1 species
CGUCAGGCCCGGUAGGAUGGUGUCGUCUGUGGAGGAUGAGAGGGUGUCGCUGCUUCAAGCCGCUCUGAUGGACAUAAAACACACCUUUACAGGUAAUUAAUAUCUGUGAGCACAUCAACACUGUUGAGUCUAGUUCUGAGUCUGAGUCCACCUGCUAAUCUCAGCCUCCUUUUCUUUAGACCAGAGAGCUUUGGGGUCAGUGGGUUCUGUGUCACCUGGUUCAGACGUGUGUGUGUGUGUGUGUGUGUGUGUGUGUGUGUGUGUGUGUGUGUGUGUGUGUGUGUGUGUGUGUGUGUGUGUGUGCGUGUGGCUUCUCUAAUCAGGUCUGUGUUAAUCAUUAUCACACAGUUCCACCUUCAGCUGUGCCACCUGCUAUGACAUCACUUCCUGCUUCCUCACUAUGGACAAUGACGCACGCCUGAGCUCAUUUAUGAGGACUCCUCAUGAUCCAACUUUGUCAGUUUGUUGCUUGGUUUGUUAUAACAUCUCGUUGGUUUGUCCUCUUGCCUCCUCUUAUUAUUUAGCUUUAUUUCCUGUUAGUGUUACGUCCGGUUCUUUUCUGCACGUGUGCUGUUUUGUAUCGCACGAUCCUAAAGAGAGAGUUAGGCCAUCAGACGAGCAGAUGAAAGUCCAACCAGCGAGCCGCAUAUCAAACACUCCCACAUGCUGCUGUGGCCCUUGGCUGCAGAUGCAGAGGACGCCAAGCAGAUGGAGGAUGACUUCGAAAGGGAGGAUGAACAGUGGCGUGUAGCUUGAAAGCACCGUCAGCCCUUGAUCCUUAAUCCUUCGAUAUGACUUUAACCUCUCCCUCUGUUUUAUAUGUGCAUUUUCAUACACACCUGUCCCACUCCACCGGCUGCAGUGCUGCCGUAUCCCAGAUGUUCUGCUUUGCAUCUGGGUCGCUGACACUAAUGAUGGGUGCUGCUGUCAGAGUGGGCUGAAGAAGUAGAAGUAGCUUAUAAAUAUAUGAACAGUUCAUAGUGAAUGAUACAGUAAUGAGUUUAAAUAAUGGCUCAUAUGGAAAAAGUAGGUUUUAGUCCGGCUUCUGUAGAGUCUCCAUUCAUGCUAGUUGCAGGGGGGGGGCACAGUCAUUCUCAUCCAAGCUGCUAUUUUCCAGAAUCAGGUCCAGAUGUAAAUACGUAACAAUAAGAGCUGAUUUGUUGGUCUCCUGUCCCAGUAGCAAUCUGUCUUGUAGCAGAACUGCAGCUUCAUUUCUGACCAGAAGCAAUGGAAAAAGCUCUCCAUCAAACUAGACCGUCGCUCUCUAAACGCAUCCAAUUAGGAUGAUGGAUGACUCGCGCGUCGCCGAGCGUCCCGCGAGAGACGCAAACAUACAAGAUGACUAACAACGAAAACGGAGGACGGCGUCGGAAAAGCAAAGCGGAACAUGUUUCAUCCUGGAAAUUCUGGCGCUUUGAUUCCCUCCCGUGGCCGAUUGUUCUUCAUCACACUUGACACUCGGGUUCCAUUUGAGGCAACACGUGCUGCUGCUUUUGAUGCAUAAUGGAUGGAGGCUGACUUGCAGCAGAGUCCUGAAGGAGGACGGAGAAGGCGGGUGAUGCCUGCUGAUGAGACUGAACCCAGGCACCUGUGGGAGCGUGUGUGUGUGUGUGUGUGUGUGUGUGUGUCUCACGCCUCAUGCUUCCACCUACACCAGCUACAAGGUGUAUGCACCGCAUCCACACUGGACCCCGUCCUUCACAUCAGCAUCAGCAUCCACCUCCAGUGUGGCCACCAUCAUAACAAGCCAU